rnacentral:misc_RNA from 1 species
AACACUGUUAACCUGCGGUACCUGCGGAAGGAUCAUUACCGAAGUUACUCUUCAUACCCUUUUGUGAACCCUACCAACCUUGCCGCGCGUUGCCUCGGCGGGGAGGUCCGGGAGGGGUUGCCGGGGCCCCGCGCCCCGGUCCCCCCCUCGGGCCCCCGCCGGCCGCGCCGAACUCUUCAUUUGCAAAGCGGACUGCAUGUUCUGAUUAUAUCUUGAAAACAAGUCAAAACUUUCAACAAU